rnacentral:rRNA from 1 species
CCUACGGGUGGCUGCAGUAAGGAAUAUUGGUCAAUGGACGAAAGUCUGAACCAGCCAUCCCGCGUGCAGGAUGAAAGCCCUAUGGGUUGUAAACUGCUUUUAGCAGAGAAGAAAAGCUUUCAUUAAUGAGAGUCUGACGGUAUCUUCAGAAUAAGCACCGGCUACCUCCGUGCCAGCAGCCGCGGUAAUCCGGAGGGUGCGAGCGUUAUCCGGAGUUACGGGGUUUAAGGGGUACGUAGGCGGAGGUGGAGAAAUCUUGUCGCUUAACGAUAAAAUUGCCAAUGAUACUGGGACUCUUGAAUUGGGUUGAGGUUAGCGGAAUGUGACAUGUAGCGGUGAAAUGCAUAGAUAUGUCAUGGAACACCAAUUGCGAAGGCAGCUAACUGGGCCUUGAUUGACGCUGAGGCACGAAAGCGUGGGUAGCGAACAGGAUUAGAUACCCCUGUAGUC